rnacentral:rRNA from 1 species
GAUGAACGCUGGCGGCGUGCUUAACACAUGCAAGUCGAACGAAGCUGUUAGAAGGAAGUCUUCGGAUGGAAUUUUAACAGACUUAGUGGCGGACGGGUGAGUAACGCGUGGAUAACCUGCCUUAUACAGGGGGAUAACGGAGAGAAAUUUCCGCUAAGACCGCAUAAGACCACAGCACCGCAUGGCGCAGGGGUAAAAUAUUAAUAGGUAUAAGAUGGAUCCGCGUCCGAUUAGCUUGUUGGUGAGGUAGAGGCUCACCAAGGCGACGAUCGGUAGCCGGCCUGAGAGGGUGAACGGCCACAUUGGGACUGAGACACGGCCCAAACUCCUACGGGAGGCAGCAGUGGGGAAUAUUGGACAAUGGGGGAAACCCUGAUCCAGCGACGCCGCGUGAGUGAAGAAGUAUUUCGGUAUGUAAAGCUCUAUCAGCAGGGAAGAAA